UACGUAGGGUGCGAGCGUUGUCCGGAAUUAUUGGGCGUAAAGAGCUCGUAGGCGGUUUGUCGCGUCUGCUGUGAAAACCCGAGGCUCAACCUCGGGCCUGCAGUGGGUACGGGCAAACUAGAGUGCGGUAGGGGAGAUUGGAAUUCCUGGUGUAGCGGUGAAAUGCGCAGAUAUCAGGAGGAACACCGGUGGCGAAGGCGGGUCUCUGGGCAGUAACUGACGCUGAGGAGCGAAAGCGUGGGGAGCGAACAGG
rnacentral:rRNA from 1 species